GCUCAGGUUCCGAUUUAGGUUCCGGGGAAGGUUCGGGUUCUGAUUUCGGUUCUGGAGACGACUCAGGUUCUGAUUUAGGUUCUGGAGAAGGUUCGGGUUUGGAUUUAGGUUCUGGAGUUGGUUCUGGCUCUGAUUUAGGUUCAGGACUAGGUUUUGGCUUAGCUUUAAGUUUUGAUGACGUUUUAGGACUAGGUACACGCUCUUUCGGUUUAGGUUCAGCAGUAGGUUCGGGUUCUGAUUUAGGUUCUGGAGAUGGUUCUGGUGUGGGAGGAUCAGUCGGUACCGGUGUGGUUGGUACUGGAGUUGUAACGGUAGUGGUAGUAGUUCGUUUAGAUUUAGGGACAAAUUUAGUUCUAGACUUAGGUAAUGGU